CAUUUUAUGAUCCCAUUAUCCUGAUUAAAUACCCGUUUGGAAGGAUUGGGUAUUAUGAUGCAUUACAAGCAGUAUUUUAUGUUUUAGGAGACUCUGAACUACCCCAGCCCUUUAAAGAAAACCCUACUACAAUCAGUACAAUUGAAAAGCUUCCUCAAAUACACACAAAACCAUCAAGUUUUGUCACCUUGAUGUUUCAGCUUCAGUUUCUUUCUCCCAUUUCAUAGAGCUGCUUAGUGCAACACACGUGCACCAGAGAAAGAACGAUCAGGGCCUGGGGAGCCCUUCUUGUUGGGGUCAGAAGGGAGAGCUUCCCAGAGCUCCAGAAGUUGAGACACAGGGGUUUCCAGGCUUGGGGGAAUACAAUCACAUUUCAGCAACAUGACACAGCAAAGCUCUGCAGCUUGUUUAACUGGCUGAGAAUACAAACACAUGUAAAUUUGAGAAGUUCCAGCUGUUACCAAAGACCUGCUUUGUUGGGACAGGGCAAGAGACGUGAUGGUCAAUACUCCCGAUGGGAGAUGCCUUGAGCUACUGGCAUUACAAACAAGUAACCUCCAUCCCCAGUUCCUCCAUCUACCAGUAACACACCCAGCUUGGAGCUGUAACUUCACCCUCCCACUGCCCCAGUCCUACCUGGGACAUUCAGGGCUUCCUGGCUUCCCACCGCGUUGCCUCCCCUCCAUAAUGCAGUGCUGCCAGCUAGAGCCCUGCAGGCAUCUGACUGCCUCCAUAAGGGUUUUUUGUUAUUUAAAAUGAAGGAGAACAGACUCCUGACUGUCAAAUGGGGGGGGGGGGGGGGGGGGGAGUGGUGUUCAAGUUACCCUAUAGCAUCUUUGGCCAACAUGUUUAUACUAUUUUUCUCCCUGGUUUAAUUCCUGAGAAAAUCAUCUAACACACUGGUUUUCACUUUGUAAAAAGAGACGUAAACCAUUUGAACGCCACAGCCCUCAGCUGUACCUGCAACAGCAAAGAAAACCCAUCAUCUUGAUAAAUAACAGGUGAAAUCCACAGGUUUCUGGCUAUCUAGAUGGUAGGGAGUGCCUCUCUACUGAGUUUUAAUACUUUAGCCAUGUCAACCUGUGAGUUACAGCUUUUUGCAGUGGGCAAAUUGAUUAUAUAGAUUCAUGUGGUCUACAGAAUAUGUGAUAUGCACAAAAGGUGGCAUAAAUAUGUAUUACAGUGCUAACAGCUUGUUUUAUUUCAAUGCCUGACAGGUUACAGCUGACACUGAAGAGAACAGUGAUGAGCAGCCACUUUGCAAGCCCUCUCUGUAAAAGGCAAAUGUAUCUGACAGUGGUACUGGUGGGACAAACCUUCACAGUCUUCAGCUAAACUGUUAUGAUAGGGACUUGAGGAGCUCUGCAAUGCGGUUUCAGGUUGUAUCUGCUGAGCUGAAUCCAAGCACUAAAGAAGCCAGAAGAGAAAAGGCAAAUUGAGGAGUAUAUGUGCAGGAACAUGAUGGAUUUUUACCACAGGAGGAAAGAAGAGCUUUUCAUGUAUAAUUUAAUCAUUAUGUAUGUGCCUGGUAUUAACGCCACAUUUGACAAAGCCAAAGUCUAGUGUGAUCUGGUUUUAAUUUGGGCUCCUUAUUACAGUUUGUUGUAGCUGCCUAAUUGAAGUUUUUCAGGAAAGUAAUCAGCAUUAUUACCAUAGUGAGCUCAGUUUAAUAAGAAGGUAAUUUUGCAGUUUGUUUUCAUUAAUUAGGCAAAACCCCAUAAAAUCCACACAGUGGCAUAUAAGCCCAGGGAAGCUGUGAGACCAGCUGUGGCAUGCAAGGAAAGAUGAAAUUUACCUGAUGAUGUUCUGCCCUCAAUGUGGUUUUCACCCCUGCAGCUUUAGAAAAGCAAACUCUGUCAUACAAUGCUUAACCUGGAUGUCUCUACUAGGGCAUGCUGUCUCCAAACAAAACCUAAAAGCGCAUUGUGAAGGAUGGAGGCAGGACAGCUACAUCAAGAGAUGUGGGAAGUGAGUCAAUGUCUAUACACAGGCUUCCUCCAACCGACCCAGGUGUCAGAGUAAACCAAUCUCAUUCUGCUGUGAAAAGGAAUCAAAGUAAUAGUGGGAGGGCUCUCUGGGCCAUCUCUGAAAAAUGAAAGGUCUCUGGGCUGGACUGUAGAUCUUUCUACAUGUCCCCACUGUAAGAAUACUGGGACGAUUUCUAGUACUAACCAGCUUUGUUGUUCAAACUCAAGCAGAGACCAAGCACACACCAAUUUAUCCAAAGAGCUGUCCUAACUCUGGCUGCCUUUCCAGAGAGCUUGUAUUUAGUUCUGUAACAGUGAUUAAUGCUUAGCAAGCCACGCACUAAUCACGUGCAGCAAAGCAAGACUUUCACCAAAGAUCAUUUACUGUGAUGCUUGUUCUCCUUUGCUCUGAUGAUGCUAGGGUACCCAGAGGCCAACUAGCUGCUGCGUUGCAAGGAUGGAAGAGCUCCUGGUAUCCUGUACGUCGCUUAUUGAUCAUCUCAGGACAAGCAGGGAUUGAUUUUGCCCACUGUUGAACCUCUGGAUCUGUUUGGGCUGCUGGUUUUACUGUGGGGUUACAAACAUGCCCGCUUGAGGAGCUGCUUCCCUCCACUGGAGAGCUGCUGACCUGUCACUGAUUUCAGCAGCCCUCUCACAGGAGUAUGUGCUGUGGUUUGCGUUCCUCUCAACAUCAAAAUCCAGCAGAC